CACGUAGGAGGCAAGCGUUAUUCGGAUUUACUGGGCGUAAAGCGCGUGCAGGCGGUUUGGUAAGUUGGAUGUGAAAGCUCCCGGCCUAACUGGGAGAGGUCGUUCAAUACUACCAGACUAGAGGAUGGGAGAGGGAGGUGGAAUUCCGGGUGUAGUGGUGAAAUGCGUAGAUAUCCGGAGGAACACCAGUGGCGAAAGCGGCCUCCUGGCCCAUUUCUGACGCUCAGACGCGAAAGCUAGGGUAGCAAACGGG
rnacentral:rRNA from 1 species